rnacentral:rRNA from 1 species
GAUAAACGCUGGCGGCGUGCUUAACACAUGCAAGUCGAGCGGUAAGGCCCUUUCGGGGGUACACGAGCGGCGAACGGGUGAGUAACACGUGGGUGACCUGCCCUCAGCUCUGGGAUAAGCCUGGGAAACCGGGUCUAAUACUGGAUAUGACUCCAUGACGCAUGUUGUGGGGUGGAAAGCCUUGUGCGGCUGAGGAUGGGCCCGCGGCCUAUCAGCUUGUUGGUGGGGUGANGGCCUACCAAGGCGACGACGGGUAGCCGGCCUGAGAGGGCGACCGGCCACACUGGGACUGAGACACGGCCCAGACUCCUACGGGAGGCAGCAGUGGGGAAUCUUGCGCAAUGGGCGAAAGCCUGACGCAGCGACGCCGCGUGGGGAUGACGGCCU